AUACGGAGGGUCCAAGCGUUAUCCGGAAUCAUUGGGCUUAAAGGGUCCGCAGGCGGUCAAUUAAGUCAGAGGUGAAAGCCCAUCGCUCAACGAUGGAACUGCCUUUGAUACUGGUUGACUUGAGUUAUACGGAAGUAGAUAGAAUAAGUAGUGUAGCGGUGAAAUGCAUAGAUAUUACUUAGAAUACCGAUUACGAAGGCAGUCUACUACGUAUAUACUGACGCUGAGGGACGAAAGCGUGGGGAGCGAACAGGAUUAGAUACCCCAGUAGUCC
rnacentral:rRNA from 1 species